AUGAUCCAGAGUACCACGGGACACGUGAAACCCUGUGGGAAGCAGGAGGGACCACCCUCCAAGGCUAAAUACUACCUAGUGACCGAUAGCGUAUAGUACCGUGAGGGAAAGGUGAAAAGAACCCCGGGAGGGGAGUGAAAUAGAACCUGAAACCCUGCACUUACAAGCUGUGGAAGCACAUUUCUUGUGUGACCGCGUACUUUUUGUAGAACGGGCCAACGAGUUACGUUAAGUAGCAAGGUUAAGCACUUAAGGUGUGGAGCCGUAGCGAAAGCGAGUUUUAACUGAGCGUUCAGUUACUUGACGUAGACCCGAAACCGGGCGACCUACCCAUGAGCAGGAUGAAGCGAAAGUAAAAUUUCGUGGAGGUCCGAACCCACGAGCGUUGAAAAGCUCGGGGAUGACUUGUGGGUAGCGGUGAAAUUCCAAUCGAGCCCGGAGAUAGCUGGUUCUCCCCGAAAUAGCUUUAGGGCUAGCCUCAAGGUGAGAGAUACGGAGGUAGAGCACUGAAUGUCCUAGGGGGUAUUGCACCUACCGAAGACUAUCAAACUCCGAAUGCCGUCAUCUUAUACUUGGGAGUCAGACUGUGGGUGAUAAGAUUCAUAGUCGAAAGGGCAACAGCCCAGAUCGUCAGCUAAGGUCCCUAAAUGUAAGUUAAGUGGUAAAGGAUGUGGGAUUGCACAGACAACCAGGAUGUUGGCUUAGAAGCAGCCACUCAUUCAAAGAGUGCGUAAUAGCUCACUGGUCGAGUGAUCCUGCGCCGAAGAUUUCCGGGGCUAAAACUUACUACCGAAGCUACGGCAUCAGUAAUGAUGGGUAGGGGAGCUUCCCAUACGGGUUGAAGCAUGACCGUAAGGACAUGUGGACAGUAUGGGAGUGAGAAUGUUGGCAUGAGUAGCGAGAUGUGGGUGAGAAUCCCACAGGCCGUAAACCCAAGGUUUCCAGGGGAAGGUUCGUCCGCCCUGGGUUAGUCGGGACCUAAGCUGAGGCCGAAAGGCGUAGGUGAUGGACAACAGGUUGAUAUUCCUGUACUACCGAUAACCGUUUGAGAGAAGGGAUGACACAGUAGGAUAAGCUAAGCACACUGUUGGUUAUGUGUGCCCAAGCAUUGAGGCAGUCAAAGUAGGCAAAUCCGCUUUGAUAAUGCUGGGAUGUGAUGGGGAGCGAAAUUUAGUAGCGAAGUAGCUGAUUUCACACUGUCAAGAAAAGUCUCUAUCGAGGUUAAAGGUACCCGUACCGCAAACCGACACAGGUGGGUGAGGAGAGUAUCCUAAGGCCAGCGAGAGAACUGUUGUUAAGGAACUCGGCAAAAUGACCCCGUAACUUAGGGAUAAGGGGUGCCACCAUCAGGUGGCCGCAGAGAAUAGGCCCAAGCGACUGUUUACCAAAAACAUAGGUUUCUGCUAAGUCGCAAGACGAUGUAUAGGAGCUGACGCCUGCCCGGUGCUGGAAGGUUAAGGGGAUCUGUUAGAGCAAUCGAAGCAGUGAACUUAAGCCCCAGUAAACGGCGGCCGUAACUAUAACGGUCCUAAGGUAGCGAAAUUCCUUGUCGGGUAAGUUCCGACCCGCACGAAAGGCGUAACGAUUUGGGCACUGUCUCAACAACAGACUCGGUGAAAUUGUAAUUCCGGUGAAGAUGCCGGAUACCUGCGACAGGACGGAAAGACCCCAUGGAGCUUUACUGUAGCUUGACAUUGGGUCUUGGUACUACAUGUACAGGAUAGGUGGGAGGCUUUGAAACCAGGACGCCAGUUUUGGCGGAGCCAUCCUUGGGAUACCACCCUUGUAGUACUGGGACUCUAACCAUAGGCCAUGAAUCUGGUCUUGGGACACUGUCAGGUGGGCAGUUUGACUGGGGCGGUCGCCUCCCAAAAGGUAACGGAGGCGCUCAAAGGUUCUCUCAGUACGGUCGGAAAUCGUACGUAGAGUGUAAAGGCAAAAGAGAGCUUGAUUGCAAGACAUACAGGUCGAGCAAGGAUGAAAAUCGGACUUAGUGAUCCGGUGGUUCUGCGUGGAAGGGCCAUCGCUCAACGGAUAAAAGCUACCCUGGGGAUAACAGGCUUAUCUCCCCCAAGAGUCCACAUCGACGGGGAGGUUUGGCACCUCGAUGUCGGCUCAUCACAUCCUGGGGCUGUAGUAGGUCCCAAGGGUUGGGCUGUUCGCCCAUUAAAGUGGUACGCGAGCUGGGUUCAGAACGUCGUGAGACAGUUCGGUCCCUAUCCGUCGCAGGCGUAGGAAAUUUGAGAAGACCUGUCCUUAGUACGAGAGGACCGGGAUGGACGUACCUCUGGUGUACCAGUUGUUCUGCCAAGGGCAUGGCUGGGUAGCUAUGUACGGAAUGGAUAAGCGCUGAAAGCAUCUAAGCGCGAAGCCAACUUCAAGAUAAGAUUUCCCACCGCAAGGGUAAGA
rnacentral:rRNA from 1 species